GCUGGUGGGAAUGGCGAAGAAUCCACAGACGAUCCCAUCCCGAACUCGACCCUGAAAGUCUUCAGCGCCGAUGGUACUGUGGCUUAAGCCACGGGAGAGUAGGUCCCCGCCAGCU
rnacentral:rRNA from 1 species